rnacentral:rRNA from 1 species
GACGUAGGGCGCGAGCGUUGUCCGGAUUUAUUGGGCGUAAAGAGCUCGUAGGCGGCUUGUUGCGUCGACCGUGAAAACCCGGGGCUCAACUUCGGGCUUGCGGUCGAUACGGGCGGGCUAGAGUUCGGUAGGGGAGACUGGAAUUCCUGGUGUAGCGGUGAAAUGCGCAGAUAUCAGGAGGAACACCGGUGGCGAAGGCGGUUCUCUGGGAAUAUCCUGACGCUGAGGAGCGAAAGUGUGGGGAGCGAACAGG